rnacentral:rRNA from 1 species
UACAGAGGUCUCAAGCGUUGUUCGGAUUCAUUGGGCGUAAAGGGCGCGUAGGCGGCGGGGUAAGUCGGGUGUGAAAUCUCAGAGCUCAACUCUGAAACUGCACUCGAUACUGCUCUGCUUGAGGACUGGAGAGGAGACUGGAAUUCACGGUGUAGCAGUGAAAUGCGUAGAUAUCGUGAGGAAGACCAGUGGCGAAGGCGGGUCUCUGGACAGUUCCUGACACUGAGGCGCGAAGGCCAGGGGAGCAAACGGG